GCACGCCCGUGCCUCGUGGCCUCUGUCCGAACCGACCCUGACGUACUUCCCCAACGUCAGGUUCGCGCCGUCGGGCAGGGACCUCGAGGUAAGGGCCUGCGGGC
rfam:Mycobacterium arupense strain GTC1 Marup_contig000034, whole genome shotgun sequence.